UUGGAACACGAAUGUAAACAAACACUCAAACCUCGUGUAAUCGAUGUACACCGUGAUGCUUGAUUGCGAUAUGCCUACCUCGUGUAUCGAUACAUUGUUCUCAAUCACCUCUAACGGAAAUCCCGGUCUAAAUCCAUCCGAGCCAUUCACAACGAGGACGUCAAGUAUUUCGAAAACUCGAUUGACAGCCGAAGGAAGAGCAGCUUGCGGAUGCCAGCAUGUUCAGGGUUUGUGGGGAGGUUCACAGACAUCCUCAGGGGGGAUACAAAGUAUUGAAAUGUCCGGAUGAAUAAAAGAGACAGUCAUCUGUGCAGCAUCAAUGCAAUGAAAGACCAUAGAAGAGCAACAGUGAAACUGAAGUCCUGCUUGAGAUCCCUGGAUGAGUACUCCAGGUUGACAGUCUGGAAGGACCAGACAAGGGAGUCCUAAACAGAGGGUGCACCCCUUCAGAUAUCAGAGGUGAUUUGCAGACAGCGAUGACGAGGGUCCUGUUAUUUCAAUGGAGGCCGACCGAGAAGUUGUAUGCCAAAUGGUACUGGGACACACAAAGGCUGGUCUGCCUAAUGUGAGAAGACCAACCAAUGCCAAGCUGGAGUGGAAUUCUUCCAGGACAUUCAGGAAAUUCUUGUCUUGAGCCAUGUGGUAAACACUUAAAAGGAAUGAUAAAUGGGACUUAUUGUCUUUAAAUGUGGACCCAAACACCAAAUGGAAAGUUCACAAUUCUACUAACACAAUGCUGCAGAGAUAGAGUCCAACUGGUAUCCCCUCAUCCUGGUUCCUGUUCAUCCAUGACAAUAUAGAAAGAAAAGGAGUAUUGAGGGAAAGU
rnacentral:misc_RNA from 1 species